CCUGUCUAUACAGGUAAUAGAGCGGCUUAUAGGUAUAGUAACAGAGCUUCCUGUCUUUACAGGUAAUAGAGCGGCUUAUACGUAUAGUAACAGAGCUUCCUGUCUAUACAGGUAAUAGAGCAGCUUAUAGGUAUAGUAACAGAGCUUCCUGUCUAUACAGGUAAUAGAGUGGCUUAUAGGUAUAGUAACAGAGCUUCCUGUCUAUACAGGUAAUAGAGCGGCUUAUAGGUAUAGUAACAGAGCUUCC